rnacentral:lncRNA from 1 species
CAUGUCACUUUGUCUGUUGGAUAAUGUGUUUGACUGAUAUACACAUGUCCACUAAGAUAUCAUACUUGGUUCAGCAACUAUGUAUAUCCACUAAGAUAUCAUACUUGGUUCAGCAACUAUGUUUCAAGCUUGUGAAAUGAACCUACCACAAAUUUCUUGUGUCAUUGACCAAAAGCCUAAGGCCUUGUGUGUUGAGAAUUCUAUAUACAUUUCAAUUAGCCAAACUGAAGAUUCAACUCAAUGUAAAUCACUUUAACAUAUUAACAUUCACUAGAAAACUAUCAAAAAGUACACAUAAAUAGAUCCUACAAACACCAACCUAACUAAGAAAAAAAAGGAAAAAAGAAGGGGAUCAGAAAACAACUAAAUCAAUCAAUCAAACUAGAUCAAUGUAUCAUAUAAAACAACUAGAUCAAUAUAGCGAUUAGAUGUUACACUGAUUAGAGAUACCUAUCAAACGAUUUACCGUCAUCAGCAGAUUUCGAUGCCUCGACAACCUAUCAAACCCAGAAACUGGGUUGAACAGAAAAACAGACAAAAAGCUUACAAUCGAUUCACGAUUGUAAACCCAAACAAAAAGCUUGAACUCAAACAUGCAUGAAUUGAGAUUGGGAAAAACAGACAACUAGCUUACAUUUGAUUCACGAUUCACAAUAAAAGUAGAAUUUCUCACACAAUAUUUGAGAGAGAAGUUUGAGAGUUUACCAUAUCUCCUUCAAUGUGCGAUUUAUGAGAGAACAAUCUUCUUCACUGUGAAAUCUGGGGAAUAUUAAGAGCUAAUUACCAAGAAAUUUGGGGAAAUAUUGGGAGCUAAUUAUGGAAGAGAUUCGAAGAAAUUUGGGUAUAUUGAGAGCUAAUUAGUUGAAAGUUCUGGGUGCUCAUAUUUUUGGCAGACCAAUUGAAAUCUUAGCUGGUAGCUAAUUAAGUUCAUUUUGUUCACUUUGGAAAUCUUAGAGAUAAAAGGAAAAUAUAUAUUUGAAAUUUGUUUAACAAAGAGAGAGAAGUAUAAUUAUUUUUUAAUGAAGGAAGAAAGAUAAAAAAAUUCAAUUAAUCAAGGAAAAGAAAUAAAGUUUGUGUGUAUAAAUAUUUUUAUUUAAUAGUUCAUAUUUCAAGAAAAUAUUAAAUUUAUUAGGAAAAUUUUAAAAUUUAGAAAAUAUUAGUG